UACGGGAGGUGCAAGCGUUGUUCGGAGUGACUGGGCGUAAAGCGCACGUAGGCGGGUUUGUAAGUCGGAUGUGAAAUCCCUAGGCUUAACCUGGGAACUGCAUCCGAAACUAUAAGUCUUGAAUAUCUCAGAGGUUGGUAGAAUUCCUGGUGUAGGAGUGAAAUCCGUAGAUAUCAGGAGGAAUACCGGAGGCGAAGGCGGCCAACUGGGAGAAUAUUGACGCUGAGGUGCGAAAGCGUGGGGAGCAAACAGG
rnacentral:rRNA from 1 species